GAGGAUGCUUUUGAUGCGGUGCCUUCCGAGUUCCCUGGAACGGGACGCCAUAGAGGGUGAGAGCCCCGUCUGGUUGGAUGCCAAAUCUCUGUAAAGCUCCUUCAAC
rnacentral:rRNA from 1 species